UACGUAGGGUGCGAGCGUUGUCCGGAAUUAUUGGGCGUAAAGAGCUCGUAGGCGGUCUGUCGCGUCGGUCGUGAAAACUUGGGGCUUAACCCUGAGCUUGCGGUCGAUACGGGCAUGACUGGAGUUCGGCAGGGGAGACUGGAAUUCCUGGUGUAGCGGUGAAAUGCGCAGAUAUCAGGAGGAACACCGGUGGCGAAGGCGGGUCUCUGGGCCGAUACUGACGCUGAGGAGCGAAAGCGUGGGGAGCAAACGGG
rnacentral:rRNA from 1 species